GGGGGGGGGGGGGGGGGGGGGGGGGGGGGGGGGGGGGGGGGGAGGGGGGGGGGGGGGGGGGCGCGGGCGUUGGCGGCGGGGGGGGGGGUAGCCCGUGGGUCGCCUGCCUGUGGGACUGGGGUAACUGGGGGCCGCCGGAGCUCAUACCGGGUCAUCUCUUAGCCCGCCUUGUUCCUUCGUUCCAGCCGGUUUUGCUGUCACUUAUCUAUGGAUCCGCGCCGCAUUCGCUAGUUGUUCAGUUAACGGCUUCCCAAGUCAACGAUGCGUAGCCGACCUGAGAGGGUGAUCGGCCACACUGGAACUGAGACACGGUCCAGACUCCUACGGGAGGCAGCAGUAGGGAAUCUUCCGCAAUGGGCGAAAGCCUGACGGAGCAACGCCGCGUGAGUGAUGAAGGUCUUCGGAUCGUAAAACUCUGUUAUUAGGGAAGAACAAAUGUGUAAGUAACUAUGCACGUCUUGACGGUACCUAAUCAGAAAGCCACGGCUAACUACGUG
rnacentral:rRNA from 1 species